rnacentral:rRNA from 1 species
UGGGAGUGAUUAGUGGCGAACGGGUGAGUAACACGUGAGUAACCUGCCCUUAACUCUGGGAUAAGCCUGGGAAACUGGGUCUAAUACCGGAUAUGACUCCUCAUCCCAAGGUGGGGGGUGGAAAGCUUUUUGUGGUUUUGGAUGGACUCCCGGCCUAUCAACUUGUUGGUGAAGUAAUGGCUCCCCAAGGCGACCACCGGUAGCCGGCCUGAGAGGGUGACCGGCCACCCUGGGAAUGAGAACCGGCCCAAACUCCUACGGGAGGCAACAAUGGGGAAUAUUGCACAAUGGGCGAAAACCUGAUGCCACGACCCCCCGUGAGGGAAGACGGCCUUCCGGUUGUAAACCUCUUUCAAUAAGGAAAAAACCAAAGUGACGGUACCUGCCAAAAAAGCCCCGGCUAACUACCUGCCAGCCGCCCCGGUAAUACGUAGGGCGCAAGCGUUACCGGAAUUAUUGGGCGUAAAGAGCUCGAAGCGGUUUGUCGCGUCUGCCGUGAAGUCCGGGGCUCACUCCGGAUCUGCGGUGGGUACGGCAGACUAGAGUGAUGUAGGGAGACGGGAAUCCUGGUGUACGGUGAAUGCGAGAUAUAGGAGAACACGAUGGCGAAGCAGUCUCUGGCAUAACUGACCUGAGAGCAAAGCAUGGGAGCAACAGGAUAGAUACCUGGUAGUCAUGCCGUAACGUUGGCACUAGUGUGGGGACAUCCACGUUUCGCGCGUAGCUACGCAUUAGUGCCCGCCGGGGAGACGGCGCAGGCUAAACUCAAGGAAUGACGGGGCCGCACAGCGGCGACAGCGGAUUAU